rnacentral:miRNA from 1 species
UUACCUUCCGUGCUUGCCCGCAG